AUUUCCUACGGGGCGCAGCAGUAGGGGAUCUUCGGCAAUGGGGGCAACCCUGACCGAGCAACGCCGCGUGAGUGAAGAAGGUUUUCGGAUCGUAAAGCUCUGUUGUAAGAGAAGAACGUGUGUGAGAGUGGAAAGUUCACACAGUGACGGUAACUUACCAGAAAGGGACGGCCAACUACGUGCCAGCAGCCGCGGUAAUACGUAGGUCCCGAGCGUUAUCCGGAUUUAUUGGGCGUAAAGCGAGCGCAGGCGGUUGGAUAAGUCUGAAGUUAAAGGCUGUGGCCCAACCAUAGAAUGCUUUGGAA
rnacentral:rRNA from 1 species